CCUACGGGAGGCAGCAGUGGGGAAUCUUCCGCAAUGGACGAAAGUCUGACGGAGCAACGCCGCGUGAGUGAUGACGGCCUUCGGGUUGUAAAGCUCUGUUAAUCGGGACGAAAGGCCUUCUUGCGAAUAGUGAGAAGGAUUGACGGUACCGGAAUAGAAAGCCACGGCUAACUACGUGCCAGCAGCCGCGGUAAUACGUAGGUGGCAAGCGUUGUCCGGAAUUAUUGGGCGUAAAGCGCGCGCAGGCGGAUAGGUCAGUCUGUCUUAAAAGUUCGGGGCUUAACCCCGUGAUGGGAGGGAAACUGCCAAUCUAGAGUAUCGGAGAGGAAAGUGGAAUUCCUAGUGUAGCGGUGAAAUGCGUAGAUAUUAGGAAGAACACCAGUGGCGAAGGCGACUUUCUGGACGAAAACUGACGCUGAGGCGCGAAAGCCAGGGGAGCGAACGGGAUUAGAUACCCUUGUAGUC
rnacentral:rRNA from 1 species